rnacentral:tRNA from 1 species
GAGGCUUUAGCUUAAUUAAAGCGUCUGUUUUGCAUGCAGAAGAUGUGGGUUAAAACCCUGUAAGUCUUA